rnacentral:rRNA from 1 species
GAUGAACGCUGGCGGCGUGCCUAAUACAUGCAAGUCGAGCGAACAGAUGAUGAGCUUGCUCCUCUGACGUUAACGGCGGACGUGUGAGUAACACGUGGAUAACCUACCUAUAAGACUGGGAUAACUUCUUGAAACCGGAGCUAAUACCGUAUAAUAUAUUGAACCGCAUGGUUCAAUAGUUAAAGACGGUUUUGCUGUCACUUCUGGAUGUAUCCGCGCCGCAUUAGCUAGUUGGUAAGGUAACGGCUUACCAAGGCAACGAUGCGUAGCCGACCUGAGAGGGUGAUCGGCCACACUGGAACUGAGACACGGUCCAGACUCCUACGGGAGGCAGCAGUAGGGAAUCUUCCGCAAUGGGCGAAAGCCUGACGGAGCAACGCAGCGUGAGUGAUGAAGGUCUUCGGAUCGUAAAACUCUGUUAUUAGGGAAGAACAAAUGUGUAAGUAACUAUGCACGUCUUGACGGUACCUAAUCAGAAAGCCACGGCUAACUACGUG